ACACCAGAUGAUCACCAAAGUUAAGCAAUGUCAAGCCUGGUUAGUACCUAGAUGGGUAACCACUUGGGAAUACCAGGUGUUGUAAG